UUCAGCUGCAUCAUCAUCAUCAUCAUCAUCAUCAUCAUCAUUCCCUGGCGACGGAGAACCCGGACCGGACCGUCUAACAGAACCAGAAGGAGCAGUACGAUGACAGGAAUGAAGGUGCUAACGGUGGCACUGUCCGGCAGCGUGGUUCUGAAGAGGUCAAUGUGCCAAAACAAUAAAAUAUAUAUAUUUUAAUAACUAUGUUGUAAGAACUUAAAUGUUUCCCCUUAGACAGCAGAAGCAGUUGGUGCUCAUCAUCUGAUAAUCAAGAUGUUUGUGCUUUGAUGUUUAUAAUCUUGUGGUGUCCAAGAUGAUCGUCUACCUGCAACUAUAUUCCCGCACUGAAGAUCAAGACCUUGGGAGUACCCUUGACGCAUGACUUGUAUGUGUCAGUUCUGUCUCCUGCUUGCAAGUAUUAUUUAAUGUUCUGUUUAAUAAUUUUGCAGCGCUGUCAAGUAAGACGUUUUCAAACAAAUGCAUUUUUUAACUUAACUUUUAUUCCUUUAUUUUUAAAAUAACCCAUAGCCUUAUAUUACUAAACCAUAUCAUUAUAUUUUAUUUCUUUGGCACUGUUGCCUUGUCGUAGUCUGAUGUUACGCACCAACCGCCAAGUCAAAUUCCUUGUAUGUCUGACAUAUCAUGGCAAUACAUUUUUUCCUGAUUCCGGAAAUAGUUAAUAUGCUGUUAUUUUCAAGGUUUGCACGUCUUAAAUCCGGUAUAUUUUACAGAAACUAGAACAAUAAAGGUUAAAAAAAUGA